UAGCUGUUGGCCGCGACCGUUCGAUCGCUGCAGCUCUGUACUAACACUAUAUUUUUGUUUUGCGCUCGAAAUUUAACUGACACGUUUAGGCGCAUUUAUGACUUCCACACUGCAAUAAACGCAGCUGUGACCCUGCUGCCUGCGUAUGUGAACGUGAUAGGAUAUUUACACUGCUGGUGGCUCAAUUCUUUGAGAUGAAAACAAAUUCGAAUGUGACGUGUUUUGUGGGGCAUCUGCUCGCUCGACCUACAUUAAAGGCUAAUCCUAAUCUAGCUUUCCCACAGUGCGGCAAGCAAUUAUAAUGGCACGCUAAUAAGGAUCCUAAGAUCGUAUAUGAUCCUAAGAUCGUAACGAUCCUAAGAUCGGCUAAUGCACCCCAAUCAAAAUAAAAGAGAAGCUUAAUGGUUACGAAAUGUUUUGCGCAUAAUGGAUGAUCUGGUAUCGUAAUCCAACUUUCGCUUUUUACCGCGGCGGCCCAUUGCUUGCGACUGUUUUCAUCAACAGGAAACCUAUGAAAACUUUAGUCUCUUGCGUAUUUCGACGCAUCUCAGCUCAUCCACAUACUGCGUUUCUUUCAUUGUAAAAUCGUAGAAUAAAGAUCUCACAGAUGGAACCGCACAACCACCCGCGAAACCCAGCGGCUGCUGUGGUAGGCGCGACACGGGCGGCGGCUCGGCGGCGGAGUGCCUACCAAGCGAAACUAAAUUCCGACGUCAGCGCCACCGCAUUUUCGUGACGUAGCGCCGUGGUGUAGGUCUAUAGCACCUGCAAGUAGUAAGCAGGUUGCAGUCUCAAGACCAUGUUUGCUUUUCCUUCAGCCUAUUCAUGUGAAAUGCGGGGGCAAGAAAAGUGUAAUAGAUUACCAGAUGAACUCACAGUGUACGCAACAACGGUUCAUGGCUCCUCGCAGGUAAACGGCCAGAACGUGGUGGGGAUCAAGGACCCCGAAAUAACGAAGAUUAUUGAGAGCGCAGGGAAUGUCAUCACGGUCACAGUGAUUCCAUCUUUUGUCUACGAUCACAUGAUCAAACACACAUCUGGGGGCAUGCUUAAGAAGCUGAUGGACCACUCGAUUCCAGACAUGUAAGAAGACCAUCAGCUGGCCUGUACACAACAGUCCACCUUGCGUCCAGACCCGUCCUGCCAGGAUUGGGUGGCAUGCGGCCAUGCUCGGUCUUUAGCCGCAAACUGUCACUGCUUGAACAGUUAUUGAUGAGCCGUUUCUUUGUCAUUCCCCUCUAAUGGCAUGUGUAUCAUAUUGUAUGCUGUUUUUUUUUUACACAUAUAUUUUGCUAAAUAUGUUUUAUGGCUUGGCUGAAACCUCAUGUUUAAAGCUGUCAACUGUGAGCAAAAUGGUGAAGGCUACAUACGUUGCCUGCCAAAGAGCCUAUGAAGAAAGAGAGUGAAUAGGGUGUUAUGAUGCCUUUCUCUUCACACUUGGCGUGUCACAAUUGGCAGUUACCCAUGUAUAAUGUGCGCCUACUUCCUUUUUUUUCUUUUCAUGUAUUGGAAGGCCUACUGUGGCGUUCGAGUUGCGAGACAUUGGAUAUUUAGGUUGUGAGGGUGAUAAGGCAAAAACUGAAUUGGGUGAAAAGGUAAAAACUUAAUUCUCCAGGAGGCUUGUAUGAGCAUUGCUGGGCUAUCUUGUCUUCUUGAAUCGGUCGUCCAAUAGCUAGGCAUGGUGAUCGGAUGUGAUCACAUUUACAAGAGUUCUUUACAAUUGAAAUUAAUUCAUGUGGUGUGGCUGCAAUGAAUCGAGACAUUGUAGUGCAGAUGAAUUGUAGUCUCUGAAUAAAUUGGUGUAUCUUGUGCACAAAGUUUUCAUGCGUGCAUAAAUGUACCAUUGGCUUAACUGAAGGGUAGUAAGCAUUUUGUCACCCUCUGCAGCUGACGAGGGAAGUGGUGCGUAGUAUUUAUUAUCUCUGUUUAUCCAUUUGUUUUACUUGCACAGAUUCAUUGUAUGAAGAUAUGAGUAAGUCUCAGUGCUGCGAUUGUUGACGGUAUGUUUUGCUUUAGCCGCUGUGGCUCUUUGGAAACAGUGCCAUGCCACAAACUUUGCUGGUGGGUUGAUCCGUCUGCUGCCAUUCAUGUUUUGAUGUUCCCGGCAGUGAACGUGCUUGAAGUUAGUCUCUUUAAGAGACAUUUUGUCUCUUAAUGGUAUGUUGCAUUGCUUAUUGAAUCCUUUUUAUUCAAACCUCUGUGUACUCAAGUCGUCAUGGGUGGCACUAAGUCAGUGGUUGUGAUAGCGUCGCCCUUGACAAUUUCAAGAGAGAGCUAUGCAUGUUGUUCCCGUGUAUAGCAUUCAGUUACAUGCUAUGUGCAAUGUAUGGUUUUUAACUAUACUAUAAAGAUACUUAAGUCACAUA